UACCUUAUACUCCUCCUUAUUCGUCUAGCUCUCCUCACCAUCCUUGCUCUCCACCAACUUAGCAUAAGCCACUGUCUUAGUAUCCACCUUCCUCUUAACUUCUUAAUUCUACCACCAAUCCCCCUGAUGUUUGCCAGAUCUACCUCUCGAGAUACCUAACACCUCUCUAGUGAUCUCCUUAAUGUAAUUAAUAGUUGUCUCCCACAUACUAUCCACAUCCCCACUACUCUCCCAAGACCUCUUCAUUGUUAAUUUCUCCCUCAUUUCCAAAUCACUUGCCAAAGUCAAGCUACCCCACUUAAUCCUGGGUCGACCCUCCAUACUCC
rnacentral:lncRNA from 1 species